rnacentral:lncRNA from 1 species
UAAUAACAGUAAUAAUAACAGUAAUAACAAUAAUAAUAAUAAUAAUAACAAUAAUAAUACCCCAGUUAUUGUUAUUAAUGCACGAAGUAUGAAUUAUCCUUUUGAAUUAAUUAGCAAUCUUUAUAGUACUGGGUUAAUACGACCAACUGAUAGAUUAGCACCAGGACUUAUUCGUGCUUACCCUGGGUUUAGAGCAAUUGUAGAUAGAUAUGAACAGAAUUAUGACAAUAGUGAUGGUAGUGCCAAUAGUAGCGGUACUAACAGUAGCGACAAUGUAGACGACAUAAGAAACGUAUCAAAUAAUAGUAAUAAUAAUAAUAAUAACGCUACUAAUAGAGGCAUUAAUAAUAAUGCUAUCAGUAGAGACAGCAAUGAUGAUAUAAGUGGCGGUUUGGAUAAUAACAACAGAAGCAGUGAAAGAAACAAUGAAAUAAGUAACGAAAGAAGUAACGAAAGAAGUAACGAAAGAAGUAACGACAGAAAUAACGACAGAAGUAACGACACGAGCAAUAGUGAAAUAAUAAGGUAUGGUAUUAUAACGAAUGAUCUAUCACGAACUGAAAAUGUCUCUAUUAAUAACCUGUUAAAUAACAACACAUUUAACAAUCAAUUAAGACUAACUAAUGUAGAAGGAAAUGAUUUUCGUAACAACACUUAUUACCUGUAUAGAAAUGAUCGAGAUAGGUACGAUUCUAUGAGAAAUAAUAGUAUAAAUAGUGAUAUUGUUAGAGAGGGAACCAUGACAGGUGAUAAUAUAGACACGACAUGGGACAAUCUAAUGCCCAGUUACGAAACAAUAGCUAACUACCUACAUAAUAACAACAGGAUUAGUAAUAGUGGUUUUAGUUUCUAUAAUACCAUAGUGCAUGAUACUAGUAAUAGCAAUAACGUGGUAAAUGAUGGUCUGACUAACCAAAGAGGGUAUUACAAUAACUCAAACAGCACUAACAACAACAGUGAUAAUACGAAUACUAUUAUUAACAAUGUUAAUAAUAACAAUACUCAUAAUAACAAUGUGAAUGAUAUACAACUGUUGUUUAAUGAACAAAACAGAAUAAAUAACAUUUCGAAUAAUCGGAUUACAACUAGUAACAAUACUUUAACAAAUAAUAUUAGAACUACUAAUGAACCUAUUAAUAAUAAUAAUUAUCUAUAUUAUAUGAUGAAUGGUAAUAGAAUGCUAGAAAGAGGAGACAAUGCAUCAGUAAUAA